rnacentral:lncRNA from 1 species
AGAGCCGGGCAGGGCGCGAGGAGCGCGGACUCAAGACCGGCUAGGCUGCGACUGCUCAGGCUGCGAGUUCCCAGCUCUGGGGUCUCACCUUGCGGAGCUCACCCAGGCGGACUCUCCGCAGCCCCGGAUGGGUGUCUGUGUUAGUUUACUAAACACCAGGACUAUUGUAGGCGAGUGUGAGAACAGCCCAGUGAGGCUGAGGCCACACAAUUAGCCCCAGUCUUUGCACUGCAACUCUACCAGGGAUCCUCGUUUGGCUCAUUUUCUUUCUUCUGCACCAUGAUUGUUCACCUUUUCAUUACCAGCAACAUAUCCAAAGACCUAGCUGUAGACUCGUUGGAAUCUGUUACUCAGCAGCUGUGUGAAUCAAGGGUUCAAUAGGAAUAAUGAUAUUAAGAUGUAUUCAUCUUACCUUUUCAGAGCAUUAUGAAGAAUAAGUGUGGUAAGACAUAUGAAAAUGCUUUGUAAAGUGUUAGAUGCUUAAUACACAGAAGACAUUGCUUCCAGAUCUGCUUCAACAUACCCCAAGAACGGAAUAAGUGAAAUAUGCUGGUUUCAUGCACUGUGGCAAGGGGGUCUCAUCUUGGCUAGACUUGAAUAAGUGGAUUUGCUGCCUGGCCUCUAUGGAUGGCUCUUUCUCUAGGCUUUUGUGUAUUUGAUUUUUUAUUUGCUCCAGCAGCCAUAUUGAACCAUGAAAGGACCUCGGGAAUGAAACCCAUACACAGCAAAGCAACAAAAUGAAAGAGACGUGGGUUCCUAGUGCAGGACGCACCGGACCAAUCAACACCCACUGUCCUUCAGACCUCCACAUGAAAGAAAAAGUUGCUGUCCUGUCUUUCCUUCUGCAGAAGAUUUUCCCAGGCCAGCAAAAGUUGUGUCUACAAGUGUUUGCUUGCAUGUUCCUGUAAGGCUCUCUCACAAGCCAAGUGAGACUCAGGUGAGUCUCAGGUGGGACUUACUGAGACUCAGGUGAGUUUGUUGCUGGGAUGAAGAUGAGUCUUCCAGGUGGAGAUGAAGAAAGAUAACAACUAGAGACUGAUAAAGUCAGCAGAGGGGAUUCUCUCCUCUCUAAAUUUCUUUUAUCUUUCAAGGCUCCACAUAAAACUCCCUUCUUGGCCAGGCACUGUGGCUCACACCUGUAAUCCCAACACUUUGGGAGGCCAAGGUGGGCAGAUCACGAGGUCAGGAGAUCAAGACCAUCCUGGUUAACACAGUGAAAUCCUGUCUCUACUAAAAAUACAAAAAUUAGCCAGGCAUGGUGGCGGUCGCCUGUAGUCCCAGCUACUCCCAAGGCUGAGACGGGAGAAUGGCAUGAACCCAGGAGGCAGAGCUUGCAGUGAAUCGAGAUCAUGCCACUGCACUCCAGACUCAGAAGAGAGGUUUAAUUGGCUCACAGUUAUGCAGGUUGUACAAGCAUGGCACCAUCAUCUGCUCAGCUUCUGGUGAGGACCCCAGGGAGCUUUCAAUCAUGGUGAAAGGUGAAGGGGAGUCAACGUGUUACAGAGCGGGAGCAAGAAACAGGGAGAAGUGCCACACUCUUUUAAACAACCUCUUUAAACAACUAGUACGACAAGAACUCACUUAUCACCAAGGAAAUAGUGCUAAACCAUUCAUGAGGGAUCUGUCCCCAUGACCCACUCACCUCCCAGCAGACACCACCUCCAACACUGAGAAUCACAUUUCAACAUGAGAUUUGGAGGGACAAACAUCCAAACCAUAUUGGGGGAGACUGUGAAGGACCUAUGUGUAGGCUCUGCUCUUGACUUUAUUUUGUCUGUACAAUAUCAUUUUCAGUUAUUUGAAUAUCUUACUGCAUUUUACCUUAUUCCAUUAUAUAAACAAGUGGGAAAUAGGAGUUGGAAAGACUGAUUAUGAAGAUGAGAAGUAAACAACUAUAUAAAGAAUGCAGUUUUCAAAGAUAGAAACCAUUAAAUAUGCCUAAACCAAUGAUUGUUUUAGCUUUAAUUAAAGACUUGUGGGACAAAAGACUGUGGAUACAGUCUGGAGAAAAUGAACUACAUUUUAAAAAGUGCUUUUCCUUAAAAAAAAAAAAGAAAAAAAAA